rnacentral:rRNA from 1 species
UGGGGAAUAUUGGACAAUGGGGGCAACCCUGAUCCAGCCAURCCGCGUGUGUGAAGAAGGCCUUUUGGUUGUAAAGCACUUUMAGCWGUGAAGAAGACUCUUGCGGUUAAUACCCGUACAGACCAUGACAUUAGCUGCAGAAUAAGCACCGGCUAACUCUGUG